rnacentral:rRNA from 1 species
AUUGAACGCUGGCGGCAGGCCUAACACAUGCAAGUCGAGCGGGGUUUUCGGACCUAGCGGCGGACGGGUGAGUAAUGCGUAGGAAGCCGCCCGAUAGAGGGGGAUACCAGUUGGAAACGACUGUUAAUACCGCAUAAUGUCUACGGACCAAAGUGUGGGACCUUCGGGCCACAUGCUAUCGGAUGCGCCUACGUGGGAUU